rnacentral:lncRNA from 1 species
AUAGUUCAUAAAAAGACCUAAAUUGGUUUCUGAAUAAAUCCGAGUUUUAUAGAAUUAAAUAAUUUUUUUUUAAUUUAUAUAUCAAAUUUAUAAACUAUAAAUAGUGAUUUUACUUUAAAAUACAGAUUUAAUUCGGUGCGGGAGAGCAAUAUCACGAAAAACAAAAAAAAACCAGGCAUUAAAUCUUCCAACAGAUGUUAUAGCCAGAACUACUACAGUAUACCCCUUUUAUAUGUCGAAUACGGGGAGGGCUAAUUCGUUGGUGAAUGAACCCUCUCCCACGUCAUUUUAUAUUCGACCUUCCCAUGCCGACACUAUUUCAUGACGUCAUCCGAAAACAUAUACAAGAAACCAUCUUUCUUGACUAUAUAGUAGACUAAUAAUAAGUACGGAUAAGAUCUAAUUUUGGGUUUGUUUCAUUAGCGAUGAGCUUCCUGAUUAGCGCCAGCUGUUUACUACACAUAAGUUGUUUUAUUAUUGUCUCGGGUGAGUUUCAUUUUUGCUUAGUUUACCGUUUUUCUUACCAUAUAAAACAAAAUUCUACCGACUUCCGUAAAGUUGCUGUUGCUGAAAACUCCCUUUUGAAAACACUCUAUUGGGGAUGUUUCAUUAAUAUGUUGUGUAUAUAUAUAUAUAUAGUCAGUCUUUAAGAAUAAAUAGCAAAUAUAAGUGGCUAAUUGAAAACCAUCCAUUAUCGAUUCACUGAAUUGUUGUGUAUGAGGUCAAUAACCUGACUUGAGUAGGUUUUGUAGGUUUGCCGGUUGCGUGUUUAGUGCUCAUUACUGCGAACAGUAGGAGAGAAAAAUAUUACUGAAAGCGUGUUGUAUGUUUUUUUACCGUUAUAAAGCAUAAAAAGCCGGUUAGAAAAUAAGAAAAAGCGUUUUUUUUUGUUUACUGACUUAAAAAAUGAG